CACAAUACAAUAUAAUACACAACACUUUUAUGAAACUGUUUAUUGUCUUUUAUAGAUUUUAACCAAUCAAUUAAAUAUCAAAACAUACUUAGAAUAUAAUAUACGUUAGUAUAUUUAUCAAAUUUAAAACUUAGAUA
rnacentral:misc_RNA from 1 species